rnacentral:rRNA from 1 species
GGGUCAGUAGGUUGGUCGUGCCACCGGUACGUACUGGUCUCACUGAUUCCUCCUUCCUGAGGAACCGUAAUGCCAUUAAUUUGGUGUCGCGGGGAAACAGGACCGUUACUUUGAAAAAAUUAGAGUGUUUAAAGCAAGCUAACGCUUGAAUACAUUAGCAUGGAAUAAUGAAAUAGGACGAUCGAUCCUAUUUUGUUGGUUUCUAGGAUUGACGUA